rnacentral:tRNA from 1 species
GUCUCUUGGUGGCUCAGCUGGCAGAGCGCUGGAGUACCAAUCCAGUGGCAGUGAGUUCAAAUCUCACCCAAGGCA